UACGUAGGGGGCAAGCGUUGUUCGGAUUUAUUGGGCGUAAAGAGCUCGUAGGUGGUUCGGUAAGUCGGAUGUGAAAUCUCCAGGCUCAACCUGGAGGGGUCAUUCGAUACUGCCGUGACUAGAGGUCGGUAGGGGAGUGUGGAAUUCCUGGUGGAGCGGUGAAAUGCGCAGAUAUCAGGAGGAACACCCGUAGCGAAGGCGGCACUCUGGGCCGAUACUGACACUGAGGAGCGAAAGCGUGGGGAGCGAACAGG
rnacentral:rRNA from 1 species